AUACGUAGGUGGCAAGCGUUGUCCGGAAUUAUUGGGCGUAAAGCGCGCGCAGGCGGUUCUUUAAGUCUGAUGUGAAAGCCCCCGGCUCAACCGGGGAGGGUCAUUGGAAACUGGGGAAAUUGAGUGCAGAAGAGGAAAGUGGAAUUCCAAGGGGAGCGGUGAAAUGCGUAGAGAUUUGGAGGAACACCAGUGGCGAAGGCGACUUUCUGGUCUGUAACUGACGCUGAGGCGCGAAAGCGUGGGGAGCAAACAGGAUUAGAUACCCUGGUAGUCCACGCCGUAAACGAUGAGUGCUAAGUGUUAGGGGGUUUCCGCCCCUUAGUGCUGCAGCUAACGCAUUAAGCACUCCGCCUGGGGAGUACGGUCGCAAGACUGAAACUCAAAGGAAUUGACGGGG
rnacentral:rRNA from 1 species